rnacentral:antisense_RNA from 1 species
GAGGAGCGAGGGUGAUUGUCCACUUACAACAAAGUUUGCAACUCCCUGGAUAGUCCUUUCUACACCUUAAGAGAAUCCCUUCCCCUCUUCAAAAUUGGUGUUCAAAGGCAAGAAGGUAUUGUCACCAGGGAAGCCUAUGAACAGAAAGAACUCCUGAGACUACACCUGCUUUUAAUUUGGUGUCAGUAGGAAUGAUGGAGAUGAAAACCUCAUCAAGACCAGCAUGGAUUUGGGAAUCACCAAUAGAGUCAACCCCUCACUCUAAGAUGAGGAAACUAAGGCCCCCUAAGGUGAACUGUGAACUGAAUUGAUGAAAGCUGGGAUCAAAGCCCAGAUCUCUGGGCUCCUUGUCUGGUAUUUAUCUUCCCUGCUUUCUUCAUAAUUAAAUUCAGUGUAAUGACCCAGACAUAGAGCAAGAUCCUGGAGUGUCUUCUUAAUCAUCAAAUAUUGUCCUCUAUAAAGUUAUAAUGUUUAGUGAA